rfam:Hordeum vulgare subsp. vulgare, WGS project CAJW01000000 data, contig: morex_contig_2415861
UAUAUACUCUUUUCGUUUCGAAAUUUUUAUCUUAGAUUUGUUUAGAUAUGAAUGUAUCUAGUCAUGUUUUAGUAUUUUGAUACAUCCAUUUCUAGACAAACCUAAGACAAGAAUUUUGAAACGAAGGGAGUAUACA